rnacentral:rRNA from 1 species
AUUGAACGCUGGCGGCAGGCUUAACACAUGCAAGUCGAACGAGUGGCGGACGGGUGAGUAAUGCUUGGGAAUCUGGCUUAGGGAGGGGGAUAACGACGGGAAACUGUCGCUAAUACCGCGUACCAUAGGAUGAGCCCAAGGGGGAUUAGGUAGUUGUUGGGGUAAUGGCCUACCAAGCCGACGAUCUCUAGCUGGACUGAGAGGAUGACCAGCCACCCCGGGACGGAGACCCGGCCCGAACUCCUUCGGGAGGCAGCCUUGGGGAAUAUUGCGCAAUGGGGGCAGCCUGACGCAGCCAUGCCGCGUGAAUGAAGAAGGCCUUCGGGUUGUAAAGUGCUUUCGGUGACGAGGCGUUAAUCACAGAAGAAGCACCGGCUAACUCCGUGCCAGCAGCCGCGGUAAUAC